AGCGAACGCUGGCGGCAGGCUUAACACAUGCAAGUCGAGCGGGCCCUUCGGGGUCAGCGGCAGACGGGUGAGUAACACGUGGGAACGUACCCUUUGGUUCGGAAUAACGCUGGGAAACUAGCGCUAAUACCGGAUACGCCCUUUUGGGGAAAGUCUUGCUGCCGAAGGAUCGGCCCGCGUCUGAUUAGCUAGUUGGUGGGGUAAUGGCCUACCAAGGCGACGAUCAGUAGCUGGUCUGAGAGGAUGAUCAGCCACACUGGGACUGAGACACGGCCCAGACUCCUACGGGAGGCAGCAGUGGGGAAUAUUGGACAAUGGGCGCAAGCCUGAUCCAGCCAUGCCGCGUGAGUGAUGAAGGCCUUAGGGUUGUAAAGCUCUUUUGUCCGGGACGAUAAUGACGGUACCGGAAGAAUAAGCCCCGGCUAACUUCGUG
rnacentral:rRNA from 1 species